AUAUAUGAUUCAAUAGAAAUCAUAGAUAAUUCAAUCUAGUAUAAUCUAGUUUGGCUAGGAUCACUGUCAGCAUGCUGUUCAAAGACCACGGAUCAAGAUUUGUUCAUCAGGAUCAUUCAAACUCAUUGAGAUAGUCUUCUCAAAUAUCUAAAAAAUCUUAAGGGAGAGAAAUAAUCUAGAAAGAUGAUGCGCUCCUGUCACAAAAGCGAUCAAAGAUAAAAAUUAACCGACUGUCGCUCCG
rnacentral:lncRNA from 1 species